rnacentral:rRNA from 1 species
UCGAGCGGAACCAUUGGAGCUUGCUCCUUUGGUUUAGCGGCGGACGGGUGAGUAACACGUGGGCAACCUGCCCUGCAGAUCGGGAUAACUCCGGGAAACCGGUGCUAAUACCGAAUAGUUUGCGGCCUCUCAUGAGGCUGUACGGAAAGACGGUUUCGGCUGUCACUGCAGGAUGGGCCCGCGGCGCAUUAGCUAGUUGGUGGGGUAACGGCCCACCAAGGCGACGAUGCGUAGCCGACCUGAGAGGGUGAUCGGCCACACUGGGACUGAGACACGGCCCAGACUCCUACGGGAGGCAGCAGUAGGGAAUCUUCCGCAAUGGACGAAAGUCUGACGGAGCAACGCCGCGUGAGUGAAGAAGGUUUUCGGAUCGUAAAACUCUGUUGUGAGGGAAGAACAAGUACCAAGUAACUACUGGUACCUUGACGGUACCUCACCAGAAAGCCACGGCUAACUACGUGCCAGCAGCCGCGGUAAUACGUAGGUGGCAAGCGUUGUCCGGAAUUAUUGGGCGUAAAGCGCGCGCAGGCGGUCCUUUAAGUCUGAUGUGAAAGCCCACGGCUCAACCGUGGAGGGUCAUUGGAAACUGGGGGACUUGAGUGCAGAAGAGGAAAGUGGAAUUCCACGUGUAGCGGUGAAAUGCGUAGAGAUGUGGAGGAACACCAGUGGCGAAGGCGACUUUCUGGUCUGUAACUGACGCUGAGGCGCG